rnacentral:rRNA from 1 species
GACGAACGCUGGCGGCGUGCUUAACACAUGCAAGUCGAACGGAAAGGCCCCUUUGGGGGUACUCGAGUGGCGAACGGGUGAGUAACACGUGAGUAACCUGCCCUUCACUUCGGGAUAACUUCGGGAAACUGGGGCUAAUACCGGAUAGGUAUCCUUGCUGCAUGGAGGGGGUUGGACAGCUUCGGCGGUUUUGGAUGGACUCGCGGCUUAUCAGCUUGUUGGUGGGGUAGUGGCUUACCAAGGCUUUGACGGGUAGCCGGCCUGAGAGGGCGACCGGCCACAUUGGGACUGAGAUACGGCCCAGACUCCUACGGGAGGCAGCAGUGGGGAAUAUUGCACAAUGGGCGGAAGCCUGAUGCAGCGACGCCGCGUGCUGGAUGACGGCCUUCGGGUUGUAAACCGCUUUCAGCAGGGGCGAAGCUUUUGUGACGGUACCUGCAGAAGAAGCACCGGCUAACUACGUG